UAUUGCACUAGUCUACUCAACCAUUUAUAUUAUUAUAUGUAGCCAAAUUAACCUGCUUUUAUCCCCAAACAAAAAAGCAAACAAGAAAACUGUUGAAUUGUUUUAAAAUUUUGCCAUUUUUAGCAAAUUUAAGAUAGCAAAACAAAUGUAGGUAAUCAUAAAAGUCAUUUGCAUACCCUGUUAAUUUGUAGCCAUCUCAAGAAAUAAGGGUAAAUUAAAAUUAUAUUUAGUCUUUUGAAUCUUGUUCUUAGGAAUUGUCUAGGUAUCAAAAAUUAUUUCUUGAUUCAAUUUAAUAUUUGUCUUAGGUCUUAAAGUUGCUAAGGUUAUGAUUUUAAUUAAUACAUUAGUUCUUUCUGUUUUGUUUGUAAUAUUAAAAGAAGUUUUAUAAGAUUAAAUGCUUUAAAAUAGCAUCUAUUUUUACGAUUCUAUUUAAUUAUACAAUGACUCUCUUGAUGAGAGGUUCCCAUUACUAGUUCCUUUUCACAGAUAAGUAAACUAUCGACUAAGUAUUUAUAAACUAUUUAGUAUUGUUAGAAAUCAUUCUGAAGACUUUACAACUUAAUUUCAUUUUGAUAUUGUGUUUUAUACAUUGUGGCUAUUUGGUCCGGAUCUGGACAAACAUUCCCUUUUGUAAUUUCAUUUUAUGGAUAAAUUUUGUCACAUAUGCUAAAAGUGUAAGCGAGCUGCUUUGAGUAAUAUUAGAAAGGUAUGUUUUGAAGAAAAUAAUUCACGUGUCUGUUUUUUAAAGCCAAUCAAUAUUUAUAUAGGUAUGAAACAAUUUUUACACUUGCCUUUUAACUAUAAUAUAGCAUUUGGGCAAACAAAGACAACAUUUAAAGUGAAAAAUAUUUUCUCUCACUGAUACUCAUACUACUCACAUUAUUGUUGAGGUUAUAAUGGACACAUAAUUAAAAUUAAAAUACAGUUUUUAUACUCUCAAAAGGGCAAAAUAAAAAGUAAUUAUAUGUAUAAUCAUUUUGUAAAUGAUAUACUUAUCAUUUAUAAAUCUCUGGAUAUUAUAGCUGCAUCUAGCAAAAAAUAUAAUCUCUUAAGCAGGAGCAGCUGCAUAAACUAAUAAGGAGAGAGGCACGAUUAAAUUUUUUUCUAAGCAAGACAAAGGAAAGUUCCAAGUUUCCUGGCGUAGUUUUGGAAGUGCAAUAGUUGACUUGUUUGAAGACUGAAUUAAUUUUGCAGGCACACAUUUCUAUUUUCAGGCUGUGAAGUUUGGGGGAGGUCUUGACGGUGGUGGCAGUGGUGGGAUCCAUGCACGGCGUGUGGAAGAAGGAGAGAAAGGAAGAGAAAGAGGCAAGGAGGGAGGAGGAAAAUGAGGCCUUGAAAUAUCAUACACAGUUCCUUGGAUGGAAGGAGGAGCGAGGUGAGCAUAACCUGGCAGCUUAAGCGGAAGCUGAGCAGAGGGGAGGGGAGCUCUGUUUUCCAAUUAGGGAGGGCCCCUUGCUGUGAGGGACCAGCUGUGCACCAGCGGCUCUGUUUGGAAGAGCUACUUGCUGUGGGAUGACUCAUAAUUCCUCUUCUAGAAACUGGACCUUUCCCCUGACUUCAGCUGUCUCCUCUUGUUCUGGGCCUGGACUUCUCUUCCUACAGGUCCUCCUAAGGAACUAAGUUGACCCUCUUCAGUUCUCGGGGUUUUCUGGCAGGCUCCAAGUUCCUGCUGACAUCCUAAAGGCUAAUGCUCUAUAAGGAAGAUUCUAGCUCCACAGCCUCCUUUUUGUCGGAGCUGAGAUUAUCCGUGGUUUUGCAUUUCUCCUGAAUCAGUGGGACAUGUUUUUCUUCCAGCUGUGUCUCUCUUUUAACGAAAGGUUGGAUUUCAGCUGAUUAAUGUAUCUGAAAAAAGAAAAAAAGGUAUGAAAAGUCUACAUAUGGCUGCACAUGUCCCAGACUCUCACAAGAGGGGGAGGAAGUCAAGGUCAGGCUCAGGUUGGGUGGGGUCAUGGCAACCUCCCUACUCACUUUCCUAAGGACAUUCUCCAAGGGGUGCUGCACAGAGGGCACCCUGAGCACCAUCCUGUAGCCACGGCUUCACAAGGUCACACUCCACACGUACCACAGAGCCACCCCAAGGGUUCAGCCCGGAGUCCUCCUCAGCACCUGGGAAGCAGUGCAGAACCGUAGAACCUUGGGAGAUGGCCGGACAGAUUCAGCGAAAAGUACCUAUGCUCUGGGACUGGCCAGCACAUCCAGCUCCCUCCUUCCUCUCUCUCAUAAUUGCAUACAUGGGUACAUAAGGAAACGCUGAAAGACUAGUACAGUGGACAUCCCUAUAUGUACCUGCUAGAUAGAACAGUUGACAUUUUCCUAUAUUUACUUCUAUCUCUGUCUCUUUUUUUCUCUGAAACAUUUCAAAGUAAUAGAUGACUUGACAUUUCAGCGUGCGUUUGAAAAUCGUGUGCACAUUGUACUCCAUUUCCAUAUGUCACUGUGGUCCUUUGUUAAGCUCAUUUUCCAGAUGAGGAAAGGAACUGAAGCACAGAGAAAGAAGUUACACAGGAAAUUGCAGACCUGAAAUUUAUAUCCAGCUCUCACUAGCUCUGAAGAUUGUGAGAAGAUUUUACAGUGAUCUCUCCGACUGCGUGGAGGAGAAGGCCGCAGGGGAAGAGGAGAACCAGUCAUUGGUGUGGCCUAAGUCGAAGGAGGAACUGUGGUGAGUCUUCUCCCUGACCCCCUUUUCCCACCCAUCCUGACAUAUUUCUUCUGUUUUGCAUUCCCAGUGCCAGGGACUGUUUGUGUGUCAAAUACGACAUAAAAUGGAUAUCUUUCCCAUGAGCAAAGGAAGAGGUGGGGGUGCUUACCCAUCCCUAAGCCUUGGUUGCUUUCUCAGACACAUUCUAAAUAGCAAAGCAGUCUCCUCCAGGGGACCUUUAGAGGAUGGGCUUCAGUGGCCCUCUGUGCAGCUCUCCUUGGUGGUGGUCCUUGGGAAGGUGAGCAGGGAGGGACUAUGACAUCUAAAGUCCAGGCUCUGACUACUUCUGUCCCUGGGAAUCAGUGACAUGUGAAGCUAUGGCUAGAUUUUUCAUAGAUCUCUUAUUUGUAUUCAAAAAGCAUUCAGAAGUUUUUAUUUAGCUAAAAGUUGGCUUUAUGUUAAGCGGGAGGCAGUUGGCACAGAACUUGUCUAUUGAUUAAGGAAAUAUGUAAAUCCUUGACAACCUCAUGUCUGAUAAAAGGGAAUAUGAGACACUGGAGUCUCCUCUAGGGGGCGCUAACCUCCAGAAUCAGCUGUGGGGAGCCACGUGCAGGAAAGCCACCCUGAGUUGAAGAGGACUCACUGAGUGGUGCGCCCCCUGCCCCUGGCCAUCUCUCCAAGGCAAAAUGAACAGGCACGGUACUCACAGUCCUGCGCACUGGGAGGGUUUCCUUUCACUACUGCCUUUCAGAGCUGUCUCAAAGUGGGGUGGUAGUGCUGCCGCCCACUCCCAGAUGGUGUCUAGAUAUCAGGCCGAACUGCCUGUCCAACAAGCCUGUCAAGUGAUCAUAGAGGAAUCCUCAUGAGGCCAUACACAUGGGUUGAGGGAGAGGAUGCAGUGUAGCAAGGGAAGGGGGCCGGGGUUUCUGAGGGCCAGUGUAGCCAGGACGAGGGCAAAGGCACCUGCUGGAGCUCAGUCCAUAUAUAACACUUCUGCUUGACGAUGGAGCACUGCUUCAUAUUCUUAACUUUAUGGCUUGGAGGGUUAGAAAGCACCCAACACGUGACAUGGAGCUUAAGGCACAUGGUGAUGGGUGGCCCAUGGGCAGUUUUGUCUCUACUAAGGCCCAACAGAAAUCUAAAAGCUGUUUCUCUAAAGGAGAGUAGUUACCAGCAGAGAGCCACAGAGCUUCCGCCAAAUCCUGUGAGUCUUCACUGUGAUUUAGCCUAGAGAGGUCUGCCAAACACUCCACGCAGAAUCCCUAUUUGCCAUUGACCCUUCAAGCAGCGUCAGUUCUUAUGGGUUCUAUGUCCCAAGUGAGAAGCCUGUACAUCAGCCUGGACCUGUUGCAGAACUCUCUCUUGUGGGUCUCACUCAACACUGGAAGCUUUGUGGCUCACUAGGUAGAUGAGUUGGAAUAAUAUGCCUGAAUGAGGAAUAUAUUGCCUGCCAAACCCAGAGAGGUUCACCAGGGGUCGUGCCUCUUUCUUAGUGGUAGGAGGGGCCAGAUACAGCAACACACUCUUCAGUAUGGAAGGAAUAUGCCUCAGAUCAUUAAAUCCUUCAAUUUUUCACAAAGAUAGAAAGCUUCUGUUUUUUUUGUAGCAUAAUACUAUGAUUUUUUGUUGUAUGCUGUUGUAUGCUAUUUGUGGAUUUUUUGGUGAUAUCUUACCAAUGCAGCUAGAAGUCAUUUCUUCCUUUUCAUCAGAUCCAGUCAACAUAACAUCAUCAAUGCAAUUGACCAGAAUAAUGUUCUGCAGCAUGAAAAAUGUGAUCAACAUCCUAUACACUAGGGCUGGAGAGUUGAUAUAUCCCUGCAAUAGGACGGUGAAGGAAAAUUGCUGGCCUUCUCAGCUGAAAGCAAAUAACUUUUGAUGAUGUCUACUAACAGUAGAGAAACAAAGAGUAUUCGCCAGACCAAUAGCAGCAUGUCAGGUGCUAAGGGAUGUGUUGAAACUAUGUUUGGAAUAUGCAAUUGAAACUAUGUUUGGCAUAACAGCAAUUGUGUCACCAUCUGAUUAAAUUUCUGAUAAUUGGAGUCACCAUCUGA